CCUACGGGUGGCUGCAGUGGGGAAUAUUGCACAAUGGGCGCAAGCCUGAUGCAGCCAUGCCGCGUGUGUGAAGAAGGCCUUCGGGUUGUAAAGCACUUUCAGCGGGGAGGAAGGCGGUGAGGUUAAUAACCUCAUCGAUUGACGUUACCCGCAGAAGAAGCACCGGCUAACUCCGUGCCAGCAGCCGCGGUAAUACGGAGGGUGCAAGCGUUAAUCGGAAUUACUGGGCGUAAAGCGCACGCAGGCGGUCUGUCAAGUCGGAUGUGAAAUCCCCAGGCUCAACCUGGGAACUGCAUUCGAAACUGGCAGGCUAGAGUCUUGUAGAGGGGGGUAGAAUUCCAGGUGUAGCGGUGAAAUGCGUAGAGAUCUGGAGGAAUACCGGUGGCGAAGGCGGCCCCCUGGACAAAGACUGACGCUCAGGUGCGAAAGCGUGGGGAGCAAACAGGAUUAGAUACCCGUGUAGUC
rnacentral:rRNA from 1 species